GGAGCUCCCAUCCCCGCAGGAUCCUGCACAGCAGCUGUCACUGCACUGAGACUGCACCCAUGGGUGAGCAGCUUGGGUGGCUUCACUCACCACUUUCAACCACCUCAGCAUGGAGGGGCCAUACUCAAGGGUGUAUAGAACCCGCGGGAAAGCUGAGCCCAAACGGAAACUCAACUCCCAAAGAAUUUGGCCUAUCCUGGCCAGCUCCUGUCUGCCUGCCAGGCAUGCUCCCCUGCCUGCUCUCUGCUCUUUAUCUUUUCAGAGGCUUUGUUAGCAGGUAUCAAGCUAUGCUUUGUGCACCCAGGGGGUGGGGGGUGGGGGGGGCUUCUUUUCACGUUAUUUGAGGGUGAUAAAGUUACAGGGUUUUACCUGGAGAACUGUGGUGAGAAAGUUCUCUUGGGCAUUUCCAGGAAUGACUCCCCUCCCCCAGCCAACGUAUUCCCUCCCCCAGCCCCAAUUCCCAGCAUUUUCACAGCAAGUCGGGGAGGCUGAGCUCAGCUGGGAAGCAUGACCUGGCAGAACCUCACCCAGCAGAAUCCUGUUUUCUGCUGCUAACAUUUUCCUCCUGGCCGAUUUGAUCUCCUGCUUCUUGUGAGAACUCCUCAGUAUGUCACAGGGAGAAUGUGUACAGGGCACUUGAGGCACAGCAGCUUCGGGUAAGGGCUACAUUCUGACCCUGCCCUGAGCCAGCCAUGAUGGAGAGAAGGAUCUGGGUGAGGAUGCUGACUCCAGCUGACACCAGAAACAGAGACCAGCACAGCUCCAGCCAGCCCAGGUCUUGCAGUCAGGUGCCUGAUGCACAGCCCUGCUCUCCUGCUUUGUCUCUGGUGAGCAGCAUGUGGAGGAAAAGCUUUGGCUAGAGAAUGCUGGAGCCUCCAAGAGGCUGCUUCCUUCCAGCUCCCCAUGUCACCCAGAGCUGGGCUGGGUGGGAGAAGCCCCAGGACAGACCCACUGUGGUCCCCACUGGGACUAGCACCAUCUCCAGAUGGCUGGUGGGAUUGCACCACUGCCACCAGUUCAGAGCACUAAGUGGAGAGCCUGGCUGGAGGUUGACUGCAGUGAAGGUGUUUGGGGGCUCUGAACAAGUGCCAGCUGUGCCUGGGAACUGGGCACAAGAGCACUCAGUUGGUGCUCACCAUGAUGUCAAAUGUUCUUCAGAGUCAAAGAGCCAUCUUCAGGGUUCUGACCCAUCCCCCUGCCAUCCCAGUGUGGAUGCCAAUGUCCCAACUUAGGGACAUCAGGCAGCACCACCUGCAUCCCACCACAUCUCAUUUGGGAAAACAGGAUCUGACCCCCAAGAUCACCACAUCCUAAAAAUUCUGGACUAAAUCCAAGGUCUUCUAAAUGCAGCACUCCAGUGAGCCAGCAAGACACCUUUUAAAGCACAGAAACCCAAGUGCUGUGUGUUUUGCCCUUGGUGCACGUGGCUUAGCCCACAGGGGCUCAGCUGGGCACAGGGGACAGGCAGUGCUGGGCACAGAGGAUGGGCAGAGGACUUCUCACCCUCACAACCAGGAGCAGCCUUAGCUCCUCUCCACUAAAACACAGGCUCAAGGAUUCCUGUGGGAAUAUGGAGGGGAUCCUUGCACUGACAACACAUUCAGCUCACUGCUCAGCUGCUUGCUCUUGGGUAGCUCAACCAAAGCUUCUGUCUUGACCUUGGCCAUACCAUGGUCUUUGCCAGGAUGCCCUUUGUUCGGCUGUGCAAGGCAGCACAUCAUUCACUUUGAGCAAAUAGAUGAGGUGGAGUGACCUAGGCAAGAUGGAGUCAAACAUCUCCACCAGCAAAGCAGCCCACGCUGGUCUGAGCGGCUACAGAAGCAGCAACAUGAGUCAGCCCCACCAAGAUCCAGCCCUGGGGGCGCCUUUCUCAGCAGACACUGCUGUUAAUGGGUCUGCGACUUCAGCAGCCCAGCUCUGCAUUGUAGCCAGGCUCCUUUGGAUGGGCGUGCAAGGAGGCUCUGAAGAGGCACUGAAGGCUUUUUGCAGCUCUUUCUGUACCGUGGAGCCAAGGCCCCGUGUGCUGCUGUCCCUGUGCAGCCAGGCUGCGAGCCGCAGGCGUUGGGAAGAUGAGGGGGGCCGGUGGGAGCAGAGCUCAUCCCUCUGUACCACCCCCUUGGCCUCACCACCUGGGCAAAAAAUGUGGAGAGCUGCAGAGACACGAUGGGAGCUGCCUUAGGGGGGACGAGCGUGGCAGGGGCUCCUGUUGCUAAUUACACCCCCCCGGAGCAGUCCACGGCUCAGGUGAGCCCUUCGCGGGAACAAAGGAGCCCUUGUAAGGAGCAUGCUCGGCAUGUGAUGCUCAGAUGUGCAGGAGCCCAGGUUCCUCCUGCAGAGCUCCUCUCUGCCUCCUGCCCCUGCAGCCUCCACCGCUCAGCCCGUGGGGCUGGGGCCCUGGUCAGAAGAGGGAGUUUUUGUAACAGGAAAGAAAAGCUCCUGGGGUCCUCUUGUCCCUAAACUGCUGCCUCACUUUUGCUGAAACACUCACAGGCAUCUGAACGUGACCCAGCCUAAACACCAUCAGCUCCAGGGUGGUCGAGCCACAGCUUCAUGAACAUCUGCAACCAGCAGAUAAUGGGAGAAACUGGUUUGGUGCCAUCAGGUACCAUCAGGGGAGGGCAGGGGGGUGUCUGCUUCCCAGGAGAGGGCAAAAACUGCUCUGCCAGGAGUUACCUGGCUGGCAGGGUGGAGGGGCAGUGCUCUCAGGAAGGAGAAGAUCAAUAUUGGUUUAACAUUCAGAAAACUCUCCCAGCCUCUGCCUGCCACAGUUACAAAUCAGGGCAACUGCUGAUGUGAGCACAGCAAAUGCUCACCCCUAGGAAGGACUUCGGGUUUUCAGUAACCCUGCCCACCCUCUGGAGACACCUCACCAAUACUGAGGCACAGCUGUGUGUGCUCACAGGGGAAACACCAGGUCUAGGACCAUCAGAACUGUCCACCUAAGGCUGUGCCAUGGUAAUCCCAACUGGGAAACGCUGCUGGGUGACCACCGCAGGGUGAGCCUCAAAGGGUGACCACCACAGGCUGACCGGCACAAGGUGACCAACAGCUCAUAGACAAGCAGCCCAGCCUUGGGCUGGCACAUCGAAUGUCCCCAUGCAGGGCACGUUCCACUCACCCUGCCAGCCCCAGGUCCAUCUGGAAAUGCAGUGUGUGAGGCUGCAGGGAUGGGGGCUGUGAGAGCUGCGAGCCCUCGGAGCCUGAGCGCAGCAAAUCCAGAAAGAAAUGGUCGGAUCAUGAUAUCACAGGGAACUGAGGCCAAAGCAGCUGAAAUCAUUCAAACACUCAGAGCGUGCUGUGGGGGGAGGACCCCUCUGCUCUAAAUAUAUUCCUUUGAAGGCAGGCUGUUAUUUAAACAGCUAUUGCAAAAGAGGGGUUAGAUGGAGCUGCUCUGAAGUGAGGAGGGAAGGAGGGAGGGCUGGUUGCGGGCACACAGUCACCUCCCAGGUAUUUUAAUUGCAAAUCCCAGCAUGUUUUAUAGGUGCCUAGAGAGAAUCUCUUUACGUGGGCUCCACGGAUUACAAUCAGAUCCAUCAUGUUUUAUAUGAACUUAGUGACAGUGCCUAAGUCCCACCCUGACGAUGCUUAAGAUGGGAGGAUACCAUGUAACAGCCUGUCCACGAGCCAGGAACAGUCUGAGGCAUCUCCAAGGCUCCCAGGAGAGCUUAGCUGAGCAGAGCAGCUGCAGGGCAGUGUCUCUGUCCUGCACGCUGGAGA